UACGGAGGAUCCAAGCGUUAUCCGGAUUCAUUGGGUUUAAAGGGUGCGUAGGCGGAACGAUAAGUCAGUGGUGAAAGCCUGCAGCUUAACUGCAGAACUGCCUUUGAUACUGUCGAUCUUGAGUACAUUUGAUGAGGGCGGAAUGUGUCAUGUAGCGGUGAAAUGCUUAGAUAUGACACAGAACACCGAUUGCGAAGGCAGCUCUCAAAACUGUAACUGACGCUGAGGUGCGAAAGCGUGGGGAGCAAACAGG
rnacentral:rRNA from 1 species